rnacentral:rRNA from 1 species
GACGAACGCUGGCGGCGUGCUUAACACAUGCCAGUCGAACGGAAAGGCCCUGCUUUUGUGGGGUGCUCGAGUGGCGAAAGGGUGAGUAACACGUGAGUAACCUGCCCUUGACUUUGGGAUAACUUCAGGAAACUGGGGCUAAUACCGGAUAGGAGCUCCUGCUGCAUGGUGGGGGUUGGAACGUUUCGGCGGUUGGGGAUGGACUCGCGGCUUAUCAGCUUGUUGGUGGGGUAGUGGCUUACCAAGGCUUUGACGGGUAGCCGGCCUGAGAGUGUGACCGGCCACAUUGGGACAGAGAUACGGCCCAGACUCCUACGGGAGGCAGCAGUGUGGAAUAAUGCACAAUGGGCGGAAGCCUGAUGCAGCAACGCCGCGUGCGGGAUGACGGCCUUCGGGUUGUAAACCGCUUUCGCCUGUGACGAAGCGUGAGUGACGGUAAUGGGUAAAGAAGCACCGGCUAACUACGUG